GCCAUACCACCCUGAACGCGCCCGAUCUCGUCUGAUCUCGGAAGCUAAGCAGGGUCGGGCCUGGUUAGUACUUGAAUGGGAGACAAAAUACUUCAGCUCCCUCAUUCAUCCAGGAGGAUAAAUCUGGGGU
rnacentral:rRNA from 1 species